rnacentral:rRNA from 1 species
UAAGAUCAAAAUGCAACUGAGCUGUCAUAACGAUAAGGUGCACCUAAAACCGCCAUUAAAAUGAUCUUAGCAAUCUAUUAAACUCCACGAAAGCUAAGACCCAAACUGGGAUUAGAUACCCCACUAUGCUUAGCCCUAAAUCCUGAUGCUUACCCUACUAAAGCAUCCGCCCGAGAACUACGAGCACAAACGCUUAAAACUCUAAGGACUUGGCGGUGCCCCAAACCCACCUAGAGGAGCCUGUUCUAUAAUCGAUAACCCACGAUACACCCGACCACUCCUUGCCAAGGCAGCCUACAUACCGCCGUCACCAGCCCACCUCCCUUGAGAGUGCAACAGUGAGCACAAUAGCCUCAUAAUCCGCUAACAAGACAGGUCAAGGUAUAGCCUAUGGAGUGGAAGAAAUGGGAUACAUUUUCUAAUAUAGAAAACUCACGGAAAGGAAUGUGAAACCAUCCCUAGAAGGCGGAUUUAGCAGUAAAAUGGGACAAUAAAGCCCACUUUAAAUCGGCUCUGAGGCACGUACAUACCGCCCGUCACCCUCC